rnacentral:rRNA from 1 species
AUUGAACGCUGGCGGCAUGCUUUACACAUGCCAGUCGAACGGCAGCGCGGGCUUCGGCCUGGCGGCGAGUGGCGAACGGGUGAGUAAUACAUCGGAACGUGCCCAGUAGUGGGGGAUAGCUCGGCGAAAGCCGGAUUAAUACCGCAUACGACCUGAGGGUGAAAGCGGGGGAUCUUCGGACCUCGCGCUAUUGGAGCGGCCGAUGGCAGAUUAGCUAGUUGGUGGGGUAAAGGCCUACCAAGGCGACGAUCUGUAGCUGGUCUGAGAGGACGACCAGCCACACUGGGACUGAGACACGGCCCAGACUCCUACGGGAGGCAGCAGUGGGGAAUUUUGGACAAUGGGCGAAAGCCUGAUCCAGCGAUGCCGCGUGUGUGAUGAAGGCCUUCGGGUUGUAAAGCACUUUUGGCGGGAACGAAAAGGACUGUGCCAAUACCACGGUUCGAUGACGGUACCCGCAAAAUAAGCACCGGCUAACUACGUG